UUCUGAACCCAGAACCCGGCCAGAAGCCGUUUAGACCAGUUUAACCCGGACCAGGCCUGCUGCUACAUUAUAAGUGUUGAUAUUUCUCUAUGUUUCUUUAUUGCCUUGCUGAUUAUAAGUAUUCUGAAUCCCUCUCUCUCUCUCUCACUCCUGUUAUCUAAUACUAUUAACUCGCAGAGCAAAUGCACGGCAGAGUCCAGUCCACUACCUGACCCCCUCUCAGUGAUAAACAGAGGCGUCGUAAAGCUAGGUGCCAGCAAAGGAGAGUGUGAGCCCAACGCUCCUGCAUAAGGCCUAAUGAGGACCCGAUACUCGGAACAGAGU